rnacentral:rRNA from 1 species
AUUGAACGCUGGCGGCAGGCUUAACACAUGCAAGUCGAACGGUAACAGGCCGCAAGGUGCUGACGAGUGGCGAACGGGUGAGUAAUGCAUCGGAACGUGCCCAGUCGUGGGGGAUAACGCAGCGAAAGCUGCGCUAAUACCGCAUACGAUCUAUGGAUGAAAGCGGGGGACCGUAAGGCCUCGCGCGAUUGGAGCGGCCGAUGUCAGAUUAGGUAGUUGGUGGGGUAAAGGCUCACCAAGCCAACGAUCUGUAGGUGGUCUGAGAGGACGACCAGCCACACGGCGACUGAGACACGGCCCAGAAUCCUACGGGAGUCAGCAGUGGGGAAUUUUGGACAAUGGGCGCAAGCCUGAUCCAGCAAUGCCGCGUGCAGGAAGAAGGCCUUCGGGUUGUAAACUGCUUUUGUACGGAACGAAACGGUCCUGGUUAAUACCUGGGGCUAAUGACGGUACCGUAAGAAUAAGCACCGGCUAACUACGUGCCAGCAGCCGCCGUAAAAC